rnacentral:rRNA from 1 species
GAGUUUGAUCCUGGCUCAGAUUGAACGCUGGCGGCAUGCCUUACACAUGCAAGUCGAACGGCAGCAUGAUCUAGCUUGCUAGAUUGAUGGCGAGUGGCGAACGGGUGAGUAAUACAUCGGAACGUGCCCUGUAGUGGGGGAUAACUAGUCGAAAGAUUAGCUAAUACCGCAUACGACCUGAGGGUGAAAGUGGGGGACCGCAAGGCCUCAUGCUAUAGGAGCGGCCGAUGUCUGAUUAGCUAGUUGGUGGGGUAAAGGCCCACCAAGGCGACGAUCAGUAGCUGGUCUGAGAGGACGAUCAGCCACACUGGGACUGAGACACGGCCCAGACUCCUACGGGAGGCAGCAGUGGGGAAUUUGGACAAUGGGCGAAAGCCUGAUCCAGCAAUGCCGCGUGUGUGAAGAAGGCCU